CGAUAGUGAAACAGUACCGUGAGGGAAAGGUGAAAAGAACCCCGGGAGGGGAGUGAAAAGAACAUGAAACCAUAAACUUACAAGCAGUAGGAGGACGACUAAAACGUCUGACUGCGUGCCUGUUGAAGAAUGAGCCGGCGACUUAUAGUUAGUGGCAGGUUAAAGUAGUGAAUACUGAAGCCACAGUGAAAGCGAGCCUGAAUAGGGCGUUUGUCACUAGUUAUAGACCCGAACCCGGAUGAUCUAACCAUGGUCAGGUUGAAGCUCAGGUAAUACUGAGUGGAGGACCGAACCGACUGAUGUUGAAAAAUCAGCGGAUGAGUUGUGGUUAGGGGUGAAAUGCCAAUCGAAUUCGGAGCUAGCUGGUUCUCCCCGAAAUGCGUUUUGGCGCAGCGGUGAAUGUUAUAAUUUAGGGGUAAAGCACUGUUACGUAUGCGGGCUGGUAAUUCGGUACCAAAUCGUUGCAAACUAAGAAUACUAAAUGUACAGUUCACCAGUAAGACUGUGGGGGAUAAGCUCCAUUGUCAAGAGGGAAACAGCCCAGAGCACCAGUUAAGGCCCUUAAAUAAUUACUAAGUGGUAAAGGAGGUGGGAGUGCAUAGACAAUCAGGAGGUUUGCUUAGAAGCAGCAAUCCUUUAAAGAGUGCGUAAUAGCUCACUGAUCGAGUAAACCUGCGCCGAAAAUGUAUGGGACUAAGUAAUUUGCCGAAACUGUGCGAUAUAUAUUUAUAUAUCGGUAGGGGAGCGUUCUGUUGUAGGUCGAAGUAUUAGCGUAAGCGGAUAUGGACGAAGCAGAAGUGAGAAUGUCGGCUUGAGUAACGAAAAUAUAGGUGAGAAUCCUAUACCCCGAAAACCCAAGGUUUCCUCCGGAAGGCUCGUCCGCGGAGGGUAAGUCAGGACCUAAGGCGAGGCUGAAAAGCGUAGUCGAUGGACAACGGGUUAAUAUUCCCGUACCGUUUUUUAUUGAUAUCGAGGGACGGAGAAGGCUAAGCUAGCCGGAUAUUGGUUUUACCGGUUUAAACGUUCGAGAUGUUGAGAAGCGGAGAAAACGCUUUGAGUUGAGACGUGAGUACGAGACGCUAAGGCGUCGAAGUAGUGUAUGUCAUACUUCCAAGAAAAGCUUGCACUGUCAUAAAUAAAAAAUGCCUGUACCAUAACCGACACAGGUGGGUAGGUAGAGUAUACUAAGGGGCGCGAGAUAACUCUCUCUAAGGAACUCGGCAAAAUAACUCCGUAACUUCGGGAGAAGGAGUGCCUUAUUUAUAAGGUUGCAAUAACAAGAUCCAAGCAACUGUUUAUCAAAAACACAGGUCUCCGCUAAGUCGUAAGACGAUGUAUGGGGGCUGACGCCUGCCCAGUGCCAGAAGGUUAAAGAAGUUGGUUAGCAUUUGCGAAGCUGAUAACUGAAGCCCUGGUGAACGGCGGCCGUAACUAUAACGGUCCUAAGGUAGCGA
rnacentral:rRNA from 1 species